rnacentral:rRNA from 1 species
AUUGAGCGCUGGCGGCAGGCCUAACACAUGCAAGUCGAGCGGAUGAAGGGAGCUUGCUCCUGGAUUCAGCGGCGGACGGGUGAGUAAUGCCUAGGAAUCUGCCUGGUAGUGGGGGAUAACGUCCGGAAACGGGCGCUAAUACCGCAUACGUCCUGAGGGAGAAAGUGGGGGAUCUUCGGACCUCACGCUAUCAGAUGAGCCUAGGUCGGAUUAGCUAGUUGGUGGGGUAAAGGCCCACCAAGGCGACGAUCCGUAACUGGUCUGAGAGGAUGAUCAGUCACACUGGAACUGAGACACGGUCCAGACUCCUACGGGAGGCAGCAGUGGGGAAUAUUGGACAAUGGGCGAAAGCCUGAUCCAGCCAUGCCGCGUGUGUGAAGAAGGUCUUCGGAUUGUAAAGCACUUUAAGUUGGGAGGAAGGGCAGUAAGUUAAUACCUUGCUGUUUUGACGUGACCAACAGAAUAAGCACCGGCUAACUUCGU